rnacentral:rRNA from 1 species
AAAUAGAUACCCCUGGUAGUCCACGCCGUAAACGAUGAGUGCUAAGUGUUAGAGGGUUUCCGCCCUUUAGUGCUGAAGUUAACGCAUUAAGCACUCCGCCUGGGGAGUACGGCCGCAAGGCUGAAACUCAAAGGAAUUGACGGGGGCCCGCACAAGCGGUGGAGCAUGUGGUUUAAUUCGAAGCAACGCGAAGAACCUUACCAGGUCUUGACAUCCUCUGACAACCCUAGAGAUAGGGCUUCUCCUUCGGGAGCAGAGUGACAGGUGGUGCAUGGUUGUCGUCAGCUCGUGUCGUGAGAUGUUGGGUUAAGUCCCGCAACGAGCGCAACCCUUGAUCUUAGUUGCCAUCAUUAAGUUGGGCACUCUAAGGUGACUGCCGGUGACAAACCGGAGGAAGGUGGGGAUGACGUCAAAUCAUCAUGCCCCUUAUGACCUGGGCUACACACGUGCUACAAUGGACGGUCAAAAGAGCUGCAAGACCGCGAGGUGGAGCUAAUCUCAUAAAAACCGUUCUCAGUUCGGAUUGUAGG